rnacentral:rRNA from 1 species
UCUGCUCAGGACGAACGCUGGCGGCGUGCUUAACACAUGCAAGUCGAACGAUGAAGCCCAGCUUGCUGGGUGGAUUAGUGGCGAACGGGUGAGUAACACGUGAGUAACCUGCCCUUGACUUCGGGAUAACUCCCGGGAAACCGGGGCUAAUACUGGAUAUGAGCCGUCCUCGCAUGGGGGUGGUUGGAAAGUUUUUCGGUCAGGGAUGGGCUCGCGGCCUAUCAGCUUGUUGGUGGGGUGAUGGCCUACCAAGGCGACGACGGGUAGCCGGCCUGAGAGGGCGACCGGCCACACUGGGACUGAGACACGGCCCAGACUCCUACGGGAGGCAGCAGUGGGGAAUAUUGCACAAUGGGCGCAAGCCUGAUGCAGCGACGCCGCGUGAGGGAUGAAGGCCUUCGGGUUGUAAACCUCUUUCAGCAGGGAAGAAGCGCAAGUGACGGUACCUGCAGAAGAAGCGCCGGCUAACUACGUGCCAGCAGCCGCGGUAAUACGUAGGGCGCAAGCGUUGUCCGGAAUUAUUGGGCGUAAAGAGCUCGUAGGCGGUUUGUCGCGUCUGGUGUGAAAACUCGAGGCUCAACCUCGAGCUUGCAUCGGGUACGGGCAGACUAGAGUGCGGUAGGGGAGACUGGAAUUCCUGGUGUAGCGGUGGAAUGCGCAGAUAUCAGGAGGAACACCGAUGGCGAAGGCAGGUCUCUGGGCCGCAACUGACGCUGAGGAGCGAAAGCAUGGGGAGCGAACAGGAUUAGAUACCCUGGUAGUCCAUGCCGUAAACGUUGGGCACUAGGUGUGGGGCUCAUUCCACGAGUUCCGUGCCGCAGCAAACGCAUUAAGU